GAGUGUAACCACUCUUCUCCUUCCGAGUAUUGAUUAUCGAGAAGAGAUCAGCGGUUACACUACA
ensembl:miRNA mir-2209.1 ncRNA